GAUGAACGCUGGCGGCGUGCCUAAUACAUGCAAGUCGAGCGAACAGACGAGGAGCUUGCUCCUCUGACGUUAGCGGCGGACGGGUGAGUAACACGUGGAUAACCUACCUAUAAGACUGGGAUAACUUCGGGAAACCGGAGCUAAUACCGGAUAAUAUAUUGAACCGCAUGGUUCAAUAGUGAAAGACGGUUUUGCUGUCACUUAUAGAUGGAUCCGCGCCGCAUUAGCUAGUUGGUAAGGUAACGGCUUACCAAGGCAACGAUGCAUAGCCGACCUGAGAGGGUGAUCGGCCACACUGGAACUGAGACACGGUCCAGACUCCUACGGGAGGCAGCAGUAGGGAAUCUUCCGCAAUGGGCGAAAGCCUGACGGAGCAACGCCGCGUGAUUGAUGAAGGUCUUCGGAUCGAAAACCUCUGUUAUUAGGGAAGAAAAAAUGUGUAAGUAACUGUGCACAUCUUGACGGUACCUAAUCAGAAAGCCACGGCUAACUACGUG
rnacentral:rRNA from 1 species